rnacentral:lncRNA from 1 species
GAGUAAAAGCAAAAAUCGCUAGCGCCGCAUAAGUUGUCUUCCUCAUCCAGAUUCCAAAAAGAAAAAAAAGGUGUGAAAUUAUCUUCUUCUUUGAUUUUCUUUUCCUCCAUAGCUCCAUUAGCUCCAUAACACAUUAAACUCAUGACUGUCGACCACAUCCAUAGCCACCGUUUUUAUCACCUGCGUCGAACAUCGAAAUCCCAUAGCCACCGUUUUUAUCACCUGCGUCGAACAUCGAAAUCCCAUAGUCACCGGAGAUGCAACUCUGAUGCCGGAGGUCUUUCUGCCUCAUUUCCUCUCUCCCUCAUCUCCUUAUUUUUUCAUUUUGGUUCUUUCAUGGAGUAAAUACUAGAUUUGGCCGAGUUUUUUGGUUUUUGGCCGAGAAAUAACAUUUCCGGCAGCCACAUACUAUUGUCGUACAUUUUGGCCGGAGUCACAACCUUCGCCAGUGACCUUAUUGCCUUUCUGGUAGCCCGGUGCUUUGUCUCUGUUUUUGUCAUAUUUUCCGGUGAGCUCCGAGUUUGUCGAGGUCCCCCGGUUCGAGUUUUCCGUUUAGUUGGUGACUCGGGUAGUGUUUGAGUUAUAUCGGUACUCUCUUCCUCGAUGUAUUCAGAGAAAUUCAAUAUUUAAACAAAUUUCAAAGCUUCUGUUCAUUUAAUGGUCAGCUUUCUGUUUGCUAGCAUUUUGAUACUGUCUUUCUGUGUGGAUUAUGAUUUUGCAUCACUGUGUUUAGUUCACAUUAAGUAUUUUCCUAUCUUUGGUUAGUUAGUAUCUUUGGCUUCUAUUAUUUGACAAGAAAUAAGGGAACUGUUGCCAUUGAUAAUGGAACCAAUAUAUGAUGAUAGAGUAGAGUUUCACGAGUCUGAUAUGCUAGCUUACUGCAAAGAUAAUCACAUAGAACUUGAAAGAAUUGGUGGAUGCAUACUGCAGAUUCUUAAUCCUAAUCUAGAUGCAAUGUCAAAGUUGAUUACUAAAAAUGCUAUUGAAGGAUUUUUGCAUUCAUUAAGCAAUUAUUGUCAAAAACUGAAACAUCACACGAUAUGGUUUACAUGUGUUGUAGCUGCUCAAUGACAAAUGUUUUUUUGCUUUAAGUUUUCUUUCUUUUUUAUAAAAGAUUGUUGAAUAAGUACAUUGUUUUCCUUUGAGUUUACAUAGUUAUCAAAAUUAGUGUAUUCAUUUGUUAGAUUAGCCGUUAACUUUUAAGAGGAAAAUGGAAACUACAUAGUAUAAAUGAUUCUUAUAAUUCCAAUAGCUAAGCCACAGACAUCUCUUCCACGACAAUGUCCAUAACUCUUGGCCUCACAAUAAUCUCAAAUUAGUUUAGGAAAAUGACUUAUGAACAUCGUAGCUUGCUUUAAGCACGAUUAAUAAUAAUAAUAACUUAUUGUGGCUAUGUGUACGACUCUCGUGGCAUGGUCACGAUAUGUAAUUCUCAUUCGGGUGUGCAUUUCAUGUGACCCAACCAUAACUUCGAACAUUAAUUAAAAUAAACAUGUUGUGAAUUGCGGGUGCAUUUCAUGUGACGCGAUUCGCAAUAUGUACAAAAAAAAACAAGUGUACGACAUCGUGACUCGUUCAAAUAAAUUUCAUAAAUCCUAAAAAAGCGGUUAUAAAGUUAAAAAUGCACAAUAAAUUUAAAACAAGUAAUGAAUCAGAUGACUAGGCCAAUUAUUAAUAGUUAAGUAACCGUGCUAGAACCACGGAACCCGGGAAUGCCUAACACAUUCUCCCGGGUUAACAGAAUUCCUUAUCUAGUUUUUUGGUUUCGCAGACUUUUAAAUAAAGUCAAAAUUUCCUCAAUUUGAGAUUUUAAAAUAAACCGGUGACUUGGGACAUCAUAAUAAAUAUUUCAAGUGGCGACUCUGAAAAUAAAAUAAAUAAUCCCAUAUCGAAUAAUGUCACUUAAAGUGGAAAAACUCUUUUAUAUUUCCUCUCGGGUAAAAAGGAGGUGUGACAUCUAUACAUUGCUGUCGAGCAUGCCCGUGAGUCUUAUACUGUGAUUGUUAUGGUUCCUAUUAUAUACUAUUCAUGCCUAAACUGACGAUUAUCCAUGUUGAACAAGACUUGUGGUAUUUUCCUAGUAAUUGACCUUUGUUGAGUAUUGACUCAAGUUGAGAUUCAUUUUGUGAAGUUAACUGUUGGGACAAGAUUGGUUAUAGCUGAUUCCCUUACCGGGAUGUAUUAGUUCAAUGUUGGUUCCCUUGCCGGGAUGUUAUUAUUUUUCUAUUUUUUGGGUGAGGAAAUAGUGAUAAAGCACGAAGGGUGAUGCCGUGCACAUUCAUACUUAUGCAUAUCGCGAGGAAGAGUGAUAAAGCACGAAGGGUGAUGCCGUGCACAUUUCUAAUAUUCAUAUGGUGAGGAAGAGUGAUAAAGCAUGAAGGGUGAUGCCGUACACAUUUUUCAUUAUUGAUUGCAUGGUGAGGAUUAAGAGUAAAAGCACGAAGGGUGAUGCCAUGUAUUCAUUUCCUGUUUGCUGUGAUUAAUUGCUGUCAUCGGUUCAAGUGCCUUAAUUGUUUCGUUUCCGUUACUUCUGUGUUUCCUUAUUCUGGUAUACCCCCUAGCAUGCUGCCCCUUCCCGUUAAUUUAUGUUAGAUUCUAUAACUUUUAUUCUGUUAGAUAUUGUUUAACUGCAUAGGUUAUGAUGUUGGUCGUGUCAUAGCCUUGUCACUACUUCACCGAGGAUAGGCUCGACACUUACUAGUAUAUGAGGUCGGUUGUAUUGAUACUACACUCUGCACUUUUUGUGCAGAUCAUGGUACUGGACCCGACAGAUCGUAGAUAGAGGUUGCUGCCUUUAGUGUAGUGGAGACCCGAGGUAGUCCUGCAGAUGUCCGUAUGCCUUGGCGCCCCCUUCUAUCCUGCUUCCUUCUGUUUUAUCUAUUUCUGAGAGAGAUUUGUAUUUUUUUGUUCAGACCACUAUUUGUAGUCUUCAUAGACAGUCUGUGAGAUUGUGACACCAGUUCUGAGUGGAGUUUUAUUAUAGUUUCGUAAUUGUACUAAGUUAAACUGUUAAAUUCUGUUCUUCUGCAUUUUGAUUUCCGC